rnacentral:rRNA from 1 species
UGGGGAAUAUUGGACAAUGGGCGAAAGCCUGAUCCAGCCAUGCCGCGUGUGUGAAGAAGGUCUUCGGAUUGUAAAGCACUUUAAGUUGGGAGGAAGGGCAUUAACCUAAUACGUUAGUGUUUUGACGUUACCGACAGAAUAAGCACCGGCUAACUCUGUGCCAGCAGCCGCGGUAAUACAGAGGGUGCAAGCGUUAAUCGGAAUUACUGGGCGUAAAGCGCGCGUAGGUGGUCUGUUAAGUUGGAUGUGAAAUCCCCGGGCUCAACCUGGGAACUGCAUUCAAAACUGACUGACUAGAGUAUGGUAGAGGGUGGUGGAAUUUCCUGUGUAGCGGUGAAAUGCGUAGAUAUAGGAAGGAACACCAGUGGCGAAGGCGACCACCUGGACUAAUACUGACACUGAGGUGCGAAAGCGUGGGGAGCAAACG